rnacentral:rRNA from 1 species
GAACAGACCCAAAUUUUUUAGCUCCUACACCAAAAUUUUAUUUUAAUCCAACAUCGARGUCGCAAUCUUUUUUUUCGAUUUGAACUCUUUAAAAACAUUACGCUGUUAUCCCUAARGUAAUUUAAUCUUAUAAUCUAAAUAAGGAUCAUUUAUUCAUAAAUCAAUGUAUAUAUAUAAAAAAAGUUUAUUAAGWUUUUUAAUCGCCCCAACCAAAUUAAUCCUAGUAUAAAAAAAAAAUARAUUCUAAAAAAAAUCUUAUACAAUCAUCAAUAAAACUCUAUAGGGUCUUCUCGUCUUUUAUUUAAAUUUAASCUUUYUUACUUAAAAAUAAAAUUYUAAUUAAWUUAAAUARARACAKUUAUUUUCUCAUCCAACCUUUCAUUCCASCUUUCAAUUAAAAAACUAAUGAUUAUGCUACCUUUGCACGGUCAGGUUACCGCGGCCAUUUAAUUCCUCAUUGGGCAGGCUARACCUUAAAUUAUUAUCAAAAA